GGCUAGGCGCGCACGGGCUCUGCGCCUGCGCGCUAGUCCUUACGCGGUGCCAGAGACUAUAAGUGGGCUUGAGCUCGACCGCGCGCCUGUGGAAGUUCUUUCUCUACUCGAAAAAGGGAAAGCAUUUCCUUGAGUUUGCGUUUUAAGGGAAACUUACAGCAUUGACACUUUAUUUAAAAUAUUCACUACUGCUGUAGAAAAAAAAAAACAAAACCCCGAAAAACAGUGGGGCUGUUUCUAAGACGCUGGGAAUCAGUAAAGAAUAGUGAUCCGGGAGAUACAGGAAGCAAAUGAUCUGCGCUCAAAAAGCGAGCUGCUUUCAAAGAUAUUAGUAUUUUAUAGAUGCGAUGCAGGAGAGUGAACUCAAGCAGAGCCCAGCCGAUUGCCUGCGUUGGCAAAAUAGAACAGAUAUUCUGGGGAGACCAAGCAAACAGCUUUCAAAAAUGAAGACUAACUAGGCUGGAUGCAGUGGCUCACACCUAUAAUCCCAGCACUUUGGAAGGCCGAGGUGGGCAGAUCACGAGGUCAGGAGAUCAAGACCAUCCUGGCUAACACAGUGAAAUCCCCCGUCUCCACUAGAAAUACAAAAAUUAGCCAGGCGUGGUGGCGGGCACCUGUAGUCCCAGCUACUCGGGAGGCUGAGGCGGGAGAAUGGCAUGAGCCUGGGAGGUGGAGGUUGCAGUGAGCCAAGAUCGUGCCACUGCACUCCAGCCUGGGUGACAGAGCAAGACUGUCUCAAAAAAUAAAUAAAAAUAAAAAAGAAGGCUAACUAAAGACAUUCUUAAACACACAAAAAUGGAAGGAAAUUUUCAGCAUAAGAUCCCACAUGAAACAAGAAGUUCUUCAGGCAGAAUGAAAAUGGCAUUAGCUUCAAAUCUGAAUGUAUACAAAGGAGUGAAAUGUGGUCCUGGCUACUUAGGAGUCUGAGGUGGGAAGAUCACUUGAGCCCAGUUCAAAGCUGUGAUGAGUUGGUCAUGCCAUUGCACUUCAGCCUGGGUAACAAAGUGAGACCCUAUCUUUAAAGGAAAAAAAAUUGUGAUGUGGGUUUUAUAACAUAUGUAAAAGUAAAAUGUAGCACAAAGUGUGGGAGAGAAGAAAUAAAAGUAAAUUUAUAUGCUUGUAUAGUUUCUCUGAAGUUUUGUUAUCAGUUGAAGGUGAACUGAUGAGUUAAAACUGUGUUCUAGACUCUCUGAAGCAAUAGUGCCAACACACUUUAGAAGGGCUACCAGUGAGUCAUUUCCUUGUGUGAUUUCUUUCUUUCUAGUGCAGAUAGAAAUUGUGACCAAUAGAAUACAAUAAAGGUGAUGGGAUGUCAUUCUAUUGAUUAGGUUGCUUGUUAGGCAGAGGGGAUAGCAUGCCACUCUCAUGCCUCCAUUUCCAUGUAUAGCAGAAGCUUAGCAGACUGCACAAAAAAAAGAGGGAUUCUCCUUCUGGCCUGGAAGAAGCAUACAACCAUGUUGUAAGUUGCCUGUGGUAGUUAUCACAUGGCAAGGAACUCUGAGUGGCCUUUAGGACCUGUAAAUAGACCUGAGCUGAUAGCCAAUGAAUAGAUGGGGCCCUCAGUCAAACAGCCCUGAGGGGAUUAAGUUUCUACAAAUAAUCAAAUAAAAAAUAACGCUACUCAGUUAACAUCGUGAUUGAAAACUUGUGAGACCUUGAGCAGAAUGCAAAACCUUGACCCAGUGAAACUGUCUUAAAAUCUUGACUUGUAGAAACUGUGAGAUAAUAAAUGUGUUUUUUUAAGAUUCUAAAUUGUGAUAAUUUGUUACAUAGCAAUAGAAAACUAUUAUAAACUUCUAAAACAAAGAAUUGUAGGUAACAAAUCAAUAAAGGAGAUAAAAUAUAAACAACUAAUCCAAAAGAAGGCAGAAAAAGUGAAGACGAACAAAGAAAAAAAUGAAGAGAAUAAAAAACAAAUAGCAAAAUGAUAGGUAUAAGCCUAAGCAUAUGUGUUAUCACCGUUAAAUGUAAAUACCUUAAAUAUACCAUUAAAAGGGAGAGAUUAUUAGAUUGGAUACCACAGCAAAAUUACGUUAAGUACACUAAAUAUAAAGAAAUAAAAGGAUGGAAAAAUACCAUGCUAAUAUUAAUCAGAUGAAAGCUGAAGUGGCUAUUUUAGGGCAUAUAUAUACACACACACACACACAC
rnacentral:lncRNA from 1 species